GCAAUCACAUGGGAGCGCCUCUUACAUACCCCCGUGUGCCAGGGAGAGGAGGAGGCCUCAGGAUGGCCCCGGAGCUGGGAAGGGGGGUCCUACACAGCCAUCUCCUCCACCUUCCUCUGUCACCUCCUCGCACCCCCCUGGAGACGGUGCAAUCCAACAUCUUCCCCCUCUGUCCCAGGAACGCUGGGAACUGGAGCUUCAGAACCUGGCUCCAAAAACACAACGCCCCCCUCGAGCAAAAAUAUUCCAGGUCAAAGCAAUUUUCCAACCCGACAGGAAGCGGCCUGCCUGGGCAGAGGUGGGAGGGUCGUUUGCACCCAGAGCCAAGUCCAGAAGCUCUCCAGCUCAAUCCCCCACCCUGGGGGCCUGCUCUCCCUCCCCUGCCCUCUCUUCCCCCCUCCCUUCCAAACCUUUCUUGGGCACCCAGCCCCUGGAGGGAGGGGCCCUUCAGCUGGCUUAACCCUUCCCACCCCAGGCUCCCAGUCGCCUCGUUCUGCUCUGGGUAUUGAACAGCAACCCUGUCCUGAUGGGGCCUCUUCUCUCAACAGCGCUGCAGGGCGUGUGUUAUUAUGCUUCCCCUUUCACAACAGCGAGGGGGGGACAAGACUAAAGAAGUCGGAUCCUUUGCUGGGUCACAUGGCUAGGAAGCUGUCCAGCCAGGAUUCCAGCACCAGCAGAAGUCUGUCCUGUAGGGGAGCACAGCCCCCUCUCCUGUGCCCCAGAGGCCCCCUCGAGGCCUGGCUUCACACGUGUGGCCAGAUUAGAGGCGUGAGAUGCACCUGUGUCCCCCUCCUCACAGGCAAGAACGAGGACCAGGGCCGGGCAAGGAUGGACCCUCAGAAUACGCUAGUGGGAGGGGUCUCCCGGUAUGGUCAGAAGGGACGUGGGCCAGAGGCGGCUUGGCCCCCUGGGGGACUGGCUCAGGCUGUGCGGGGGACCUGGCCUCCCCGCCACCAUCUUUACAGGAUCCUGUUCCACAGCCGAGAAGAAGCAAAGAGCCUCGGUGAGCUCUGGGUGCUGGCCUUCUGGCUCCGGGGGGCAGGGGUGGGGAGGGCGCUGAAGGUCUCGAGUUCUCUUUCCAGCAACUUCUCUGUGAAAACACAAGCCUCUUGCAGUGCGUUUAAAAUGUCAGGGUGA
rnacentral:lncRNA from 1 species